GGGAAGGUGGCUCAGUGAUAGAGCGCUUGCCUUGCAUGCAAGAAGCCCUG
rnacentral:tRNA from 1 species